rnacentral:lncRNA from 1 species
CUUCCAACUCUCACUGAGACUAUUUUUUAUAGACCAAAAGGAAAACCCUACUUUUCAAGAACAUCUAUGUCCCUUAUAAUUUUUCUGUUUCAGGAUUUUUUUUUUUUUCUUCUGGAGACAUGGUCAUUUGACUUGAAAAUGAGAAAAGGCUUGAAGUUCUUGAGGGCACAAAGACAACAGAGCCGACACACCUAUCUUCCAGCUCUGAAGAUUCAAGUCCAUUGACUGCUGUUCCUUGGACUGUCUUGUUUUCACUGGCUAAGGAGGGAUAGAGACUGUGGCCUUAUAUGAAAGCCAGUGAAUGUCCUUAUGUUAGGCAUGAAGAAAUUUCCUUUACAUCAAGAUUCUUUGGAUCAUCAGCUUUGAGAAUAUAGCAUAAGUCAUUGUUUCAGAAGGUAUAGGUUUGCAGAAUGCUAUUUCUGUGGCUUCGUGAAUAGCUGAGAGGAUGUCAUUCUUGAUGGCAUCUAAACUCAUUUUUAAAAAAGUCUUCAUUUUUUUCACUCCCUUUGUCAGAACAGUAGCUUUUAAUCUGGUUUUCGAUGUAAUUUUUUACAAAUGAUUGAGGAUUAUGGAGGUACUGCCAGUAGUUAUUAAAAUUUUCCUCUUGUGCCAGAGAGAUGAGAAUGUGUUUCUCCAGGUUAGACCUGUUUCCACUGAAUGCUGGGCAGGUGGCUCGCAUGUCCCCAGCAAUUUGGGGGGCCAUUUUUUUCCUUAUGGUGUUGGAGACAGCAGGGGUGAGUUUGUUCCACAGGAAAUCGACAAAUGUUUUGAUUGAGGUUGCUCCUUGACAGGAGAUCUUAAAACUCAUGAAGAAAUCAUCUUUCUUGCUUUCCAGAUAGUUGGCAGGAUCAUUUGCUCUCUUGAAUGCCUUGUGCAUCUCCUUAAACUUCACCGAUGCUCUUUGGAAUAAACACAAUGACAAAUCUAUUUCAUAGUUUCUUGUAAAUGUGUAUCUUUCCUGAGUGGGUGCAGAUUUCACCUCCUCAUCUAUUAUUCUCAGGAUUUCAUGGAAAUAGCUUGGAUCGUAAUCAUGCUUUUGCCUACAGAUAUUGUUAAUCGUCUCAUUAAAUUUUGAAAGAAUGCAGUCAGUAGUCAUAUGUAUGGACGCUUCAUCCUGGGCCUCUAAUGUUAUUGUAAUCAAACCGAAAUAUGUCUUGUUCAUCUUUACAUGUUCAGCAAACUUGGUAUGAAAAUUUCCUCCAGAUUUUUUCUUCAGUCUGUUUGCUAUAUCUUUGUCCUUUUUGAAAUAAUCCAAAAGGAUGUUUUCAGCAUCCACUUCAAUCCCAGGCUCUAUGACUGGAGGGAGAGUCGAGGACACAUCAUAGACCCAUUUUUUCCAAAGUGGGUUGAAUUUCUUACGUAGCUCUUCCUCACUGCAUUCUAAGCCUUUUAUAAAUAAAGCCAAAUUUCGGCUUUUUUCCAAUAAUUCCUUUUCAUAACCUGAUUUUUUGUUGUCCAGGUUUUCUUGAUUUUUUUUUUAAAGCAAAUAAAUUCUUUGGCUUUUCUUUGGCUGUCUGAAAUUAGUGACUCUUUAAGGAUCAUUAGCUUAUUUUCAAAAUUUCCCUUCCAUUGAACCAGCACUUCACUAUCUGGAUCUUCAUUGAAAUAUUUUUCAAGUUCUUGCUUGAUGGCCUCAUACUUGUCUGUAACGGGAGCCGCAAGUGUGUGUGCUUCAAGUGUGUGGAUUUUUCCAUUCUGAAUCUGGUUGAUCAGCUGGUCCUGCAGGCUCAGCACAUGACUCCUCAGCUCCCACGUCCAUUUGUUAUACAUGGUUUCCAGUUUGCUCAUAGCUGUAACCUCUCGAAACCUUUCGGGUAUUCCUGAAGCUGAAAACAAAGUUCUCAUUCAGCAGGGCUUUCCACAGAUCCUGAACUCGGAAUUUGACAUCUGAUAUCUUCAUGAUGCUUCCCCUUGCCUCCUGUUUGGCAGUUGCAAGGAUCCUGCUUUUCAGUUCCUGGGCAUUGUGGCUGUAGCGCGGAUUGGGAGGGGCCAUUGGGGGGUUGCCAUCCCAGAGGUGAGCGAAGUAGUAGACGUGAGUAUUGACAUCAAACUUAAUGACGUCACUGAAGCGGUCGACAUCAGAGCACUGUUCCUCCUCAGCUGCUGUGGCUGCCAUUUCAUCCAGUCUCUGCUCUAGCCGCCUCCGUCCUUCCAUGGUUUGGUCUUUAGCUGUAACUUCGCCCACAUUCUGAUGGACAAAGAGGCAGCUGGGAGAGAUUUUUACUUGUUUCAUCCUCAGGAAGGCUUGGACAGCUAUUUGUAGAAUAUCUUGCAUUUCCGAUGGAUUUUCCCCAAAAAUAUUGAUCACAGUUAAGUUGCCAAGGCCGAUGACAAAAGUUGCCAACUCAUUGUCGUGAUUCUGGGACUUGUUGCUGAGUUCAGGUGCCCGAAGGCCUUCCGUGUCCACAACAAGAAGAAAGUCAAAGCCAAGUUCGUCUGUGAACGUCUCCUCCACCUUCAGGAGCUGCAUGUAAGCCCCCCGGGUACACCUCCCAGCACUGACAGUGAACUGCAGCCCAAACAUUGCAUUCAGUAGGGUGGACUUCCCUGAGCUCUGCAGACCAAGGAUAGAGAGAACAAAGAGCCGUUUGUCUCCAAGUUUCUCAGAGACCUUGUCAAAAACAGCUGCCACCCACCUCAGGGGCACAUAUGAAGCAUCGCCAUCCAUCAGCUCAAUGGGAACACCAGAUAGCAUCAGAUCUGCGGCCAUGUGGGGAAGGGAGAGAAACGAGACAUCUUUUGUGGAGAAACCUUCUUCAAGAGCUUCGUAGAUCUGGCCAAGUUCUCUGAGAAUCUGCUCAACUCCCAAGGUACAGUCACUAAUCUUUCUGGAGAUAGCUUCCAACUCAUUUUGCAGGCCUUUCAGGGAGCUGCUCUUUUGUGCCUCUCGCUUUUUUUGGACCCGUGACCACAGUUGCUCUUUCUUCUCAUUUAGUUUCUCCAAGUGUCCUGCAGUCAGGUUGUCUAAAAACACACUCAGCCAUUGCAAGAAGUAGAGUUUGGUGUGAGUUUCGGAAUGUUUUUGGAGAAUUCCGAGGACAGAAUGCAUUAAGUCAUUGAGAGGAAAGGCUUUUCUCAACUGUCGAAGUCGUAUCAUUUGUUUGUCUGUCUCGAUGUCACUCUUGUGCUGUUCAAUGCUCCGAUUCCCCUUUUCUCUCAGGUGAUAGAGUUCUUUGUCUUUUUUGCACCAAAGUUGCCACAGUUCUCCCUGAAGGGGCAGUAGGUUUUCCUUCAUCUGAGCUAUUUCCAUGUCUUCCAGCAGGGCCAUUAGAGCCUCUGCCUUGGUUUUGGCUUCCUUGCAGUCUUCCUGGUCUUCAUCAAUAAGCAUUCCUUGCUUGCGAGCAACUUGAGCACAGUUUUCCAAGCUGAGAGCAGUGUCAGAGGGUUUUAGCAACCCUCUGAUUGUAGUUGCGAGCUCCUCUAUGAAUUCUGCCUCAUUUCUGUUCCUGAUCCCAAUUCUCACUCUCGGGCCAGAGGUAUUGGACAUGGCUUUUUCCUUAUCGUCAAGCAAACAGAUUAAAGGUUUUGGCGACUGACACAGCGCCCGGACAACUUUUCGGCUUUCUUGGUUGUCAUCAGACGUUGACAUGAGGACCACAAUGAGAGAGGAGACCUCCUGCAAAAAGGUGAGUUGCUGUUUGUGUUCCUUCGCAUCUCCACGGAGAUUGGUGAAGGUCAAGCAGUUGUCAAACCUGUCCUCAUCUCCCGCCCCAGGACAGAACCAGGUGACUUCCACCACACCUGCCAUCAAGAGACAGUCCCUGCUGCUCCCUUUGCAGUGUCGGUGAAAAAAGACAUCGUGUUUCCGUUGACUGAGCAGAGAGUUCAUGAUCUGAGAUUUGGAGGCAGAGAAGCCCUUUCCGACUCUGAUAAAGGACACAAUGGGGGUAGAGACUCGA